rnacentral:rRNA from 1 species
AAGACCUGUACCUAUAAUUGCAAACGGGAUCUUCGGAUCGACUGUGCACAUUAUAGGGACUGCCUUCGUAAGAAGGAGGAAGGUGCAGGCAACGGUAGGUCUGUAUGCUCCGAAUCUUCUAGGCUACACGCGCGCAACAGUGGUUAAGACAAUGGGAUGCAACACCGAAAGGUGAAGCUAAUCCUCGAAACUUAAUCGUAGUAUAGAUUGUGGGUUGCAACUCACCCACAUGACAACGGAAUUCCUAGUAAUCAGACUUCAUCAUAGUCUGGUGAAUAU